UACGUAGGGUGCAAGCGUUGUCCGGAAUUAUUGGGCGUAAAGAGCUCGUAGGCGGUUUGUCGCGUCUGCUGUGAAAUCCCGAGGCUCAACCUCGGGCCUGCAGUGGGUACGGGCAGACUGGAGUGCGGUAGGGGAGAAUGGAAUUCCUGGUGUAGCGGUGGAAUGCGCAGAUAUCAGGAGGAACACCGAUGGCGAAGGCAGUUCUCUGGGCCGUAACUGACGCUGAGGAGCGAAAGCAUGGGGAGCGAACAGG
rnacentral:rRNA from 1 species